CAGAGAGCGAGGAACGGCUGACUGUUUGGGGUGUAUCUGGACUGCUACAAUGGACGGAGAUUUAUUUAUUUUUGCUGAGUUACAUCUAAAUUUUUGCGGUGAUCCUGUCAUAAUCAUGGCUUUGGAGAAUGCAGGUACGAGGACAUGUGCAGGUGGUGAGCAACUGAACCAUGACAGGCCUAACAUAACUCCAGGAUGACAACAUAGAUAACUCCUGGCUGGAUGACUUCAUUAGAGAGCUGGGGGAAAGAGAUUUAACAUUUCUCUCUCCUGAAGAAAAAGAGGACAAAGAGCAGGGGCACACCUGUUUGGACACGCUGGACUGUUUCAAUUACCACACAUCAUCUGACUCUACUGUUUGCUGUAUUAUAGAGGAACUUGCUGAACCAGGAAGUUAAGCCCAGGAGGUAGUGCUGCCAUGUCUUUGAGGCAGGAGUUUCAGCGAAGGCAGUAAGGUGAUCUGGGCAGGCCCUCCUUCAAUAUGACAUGCCCCAGAAAUGGAAUAUUUGUUUGACCAAAUGAGCUUUUGUCAAAGUAUAAAUUUGCCUGGAGUCACUGUCAAUGCAGAAAAUUAAAGAUUGUAAUCUGGAUAUAAAGGUUAUUAAGUUUAGGCCACAGUGUAUUUCUUCUGUAAAUGUGUUCCAGCUCUGUGGAGCUAAAUGCUGCCGUAAUGUUGCUUAAAAUUCUUAAGAACAGUAAUAAGAUAGAUGUUCAUAAAUAAAAUGGACAGCGGGAUAAAGAGAGUCAAAGACCAUUUUAUCGAGUGAACAAAACAAUGUUUGCAUGUGAACGAGUGAAAGGUAAGUGAGAUGAAAUUUCACUGAGUCAGAAACACAGGAUGAUCUGGACUAACCAGGAUGUUGGCAGCAUGAUGGCGUUCCUUAACAUAAAAAAAUGUUUUCAGUUUUCAGUUCAAGGAACUUUCUGCACCUGCUCUCUUUUCCUUCCUCAUUCCAGUAUUUUUUUACUGGAAUGAGGAGAUGAUGAAAGAAAACUCACAGGUCACAUGUUUUUCAACAUUACUACAGUUUCUGUCAUACCUGCUCACACAUAUUAUGUUACAUUAUAUUGUUAUUAGUUAGAAAUACAGUGACAUACAUAAAUACAGUUUGGUCAAAAGUCAUUUUACUAAAGACAGUAAUGUCAAUCCAAUUUCAAGUCACUGUGUGUUAGUAUAGCUUUAGUGGAAUACCUUACAAAGUCUGCAUAUUAUUUCUGUUUUUCAAUGAAAACAUAACAAUUCAAAUCAUUUUGGAUUACUAUUAUUAUUUUUACCAUGUUUGUGUGCAAAAAGUUGGAAAAGUUUGAGCACGUAAACAGCCAAAAGGCUUAAAGACGAAACUUGCUGAAGAAGUCUAGAAGACUAACACCAUUACAUCUAGGGAAAGUCAUUUAGUUAGUUUUGAAGCUGUCUACAACUUAUUUUACAUUAAUGGCACAGCACCCAACCUUUUUGGGCCUCCCCACCUAAACCUUUGAAUGGUAUCAAAACCCUGUUAAGAUGAGCUCAGAAGCGUUAUAGAUAGGUUUGCCUUUUGUGUCUUCAUUUACAUCUUUUGAUAUUUAUCUGUAGAAGUUUGUAAGAACCAGCAUCUGUAUUGACUACUUCUGUUUAAUUAUCAAACAUUUAAUUUGUACAUUAUAAUCUCCAUUAUCUUGAUGGGAAAGUUUGGGAUUUUUAAAGUGGAGCUAAAUGAGGUGCUUAUUGAUAGUCAGUGUCGUAGCUGCAGUAGAUGGCAGUCAGCGUGCCCACAGUUUGGAGAAGCAGAGAGUUGCACCGGCACAGGAGCUAACUAAUGUACUGCUGUGGACAGGGUCUGCUGCAAAAUGUAUUUUAGCCUCCUGAUAGAAGGCCGACCAGAAAAAAUCGAUAUCAGUUCAAAGUUACGCUAUAUGUAGAGUAUUAUCAGCUCUUUGCAUCAGACAGUAUUUUCCUUUGGAACUUUAUGUUCUCAACAGUAGAACGUCUGUAUUCCUACGCAUAAAUAGCAUCAAGUCCAAUUAAAGGAACUACUUAAGUAGAUAUAGAAGCUAAAGAGAAAAAUACUUUUGUCUGGUGGAGAGGAGGUGGACAAUGUAAGUGCUAAAGCUGAGUCUUAGUCAAUGAGACCAUUAAAGUUUGUAAUCUGGAUAUAAAGGUUAUUAAAUUUAGGCCACAGUGUAUUUCUUCUGUAAAUGUGUUCUGUGGAGCUAAAUGCUGCCGUAAUGUUGCUUAUAAUUCUUAAGAACAGUAAUAAGAUAGAUGUUCAUAAAUAAAAUGGACAGCGGGAUAAAGAGAGUCAAAGACCAUUUUAUCGAGUGAACAAAACAAUGUUUGCAUGUGAACAAAAAGUGAAAGGUAAGUGAGAUGGAAUUUCACUGAGUCAGAAACACAGGAUGAUCUGGACUAACCAGGAUGUUGGCAGCAUGAUGGCGUUCCUUAAGAUAAAAAAAUGUUUUCACAGUUUUCAGUCUAAGGAACUUUCUGCACCUGCUCUCUUUUCCUUCCUGAUUCCAGUAAAAAAAGCUUUUGGUAUUUUCCAAGAGGAGAUGAUGAAAGAAAACUCACAGGUCACAUGUUUUUCAACAUUACUACAGUUUCUGUCAUACCUGCUCACACAUAUUAUGUUACAUUAUAUUGUUAUUAGUUAGAAAUACAGGUGCUG